CAUAGCGACUAUCGUGGCAUAUCAAUAAGCGGAGGAAAAGAAACUAACAAGGAUUCCCUUAGUAACGGCGAGUGAAGCGGGAAGAGCUCAAAUUUGAAAUCUUCAAGGUUUUACCUUGACGAAUUGUAGUUUAAAGAAGUGCUUUCUGUUGGAGUUUUGGUAAAAGUUCUUUGGAAUAGGACAUCAUAGAGGGUGAGAAUCCCGUAUUUGACCAUUUCUUCCAGCUGUGUGAUACACUUUCAAAGAGUCGGAUUGUUUGGGAAUGCAGUCCAAAAUGUGUGGUAAAUUUCAUCUAAAGCUAAAUAUUGGCGAGAGACCGAUAGCGAACAAGUACCGUGAGGGAAAGAUGAAAAGAACUUUGAAAAGAGAGUUAAACAGUACGUGAAAUUGUCAAAAGGGAAGCGUUUGACACCAGUGUUGUUUUUCCGAAAAUCAAUUAAAAAUUGAUUCAUGCCAGGUUGUAUUGACCUUAUCAGCUUGCAAUUUGGUUUUGGGUCUCUUUUUGAUGCACUUUUCGGUUAACAAGUCAACAUCAAUUUCCUUUGCUGUAAAAAGGUAAGAGGAAGGUGGCUUCAAUUUCGGUUGAAGUGUUUAUAGCCUUUUAUCUCUGCAGUCGGGGAGAUUGAGGUCUGCAGCGUAGAUCCUUCGGGGCUAGAUACAUUUAUGCUAAGUUAUAGCUUUUCAUAGACAACUUGUUGACUAUGUUUAGUCAUGUAGCUUACUCGUAAGUGCUAUUUUACCUACGCUUAGGAUGUUGACGAGACUGUCGAUCUC
rnacentral:rRNA from 1 species